CUGUCCCCAAAGCAUCGCCAGUUAAUGCACCUCCCACUGGCUAUUUUGAAGCUGGGUAGGGGUGGGGAUGGGCCUGUGCUUCACAGGAGGGGCUGAGACCUGGGGUUUCAUCUCUAGAGAUUGGAGUAUAAAGGAAGGGGAGUUCUCUCCCUCACCUUGAGAGACUUCCUGCCUCUUUCCACCCUAGCAGGUGGACUGAGAGCUGGGCAGCCUGCUUUGGGGGUGUGGGCAGGUUCCCUUGGGAUGGGAGAGUCAGAGGAGGAGAUGUUGGG
rnacentral:lncRNA from 1 species